AAUUUACUCUGCCCAAUGAAAAAUUAAAUGGCUGCAGUAUAUUGACUGUACAAAGGUAGCAUAAUAAAUAGUUUUUUAAAUGAAGACUGGAAUGAAGGAGGGGAUGAAAUUUAAACUGUCUCAAUUUUAAUAAUAAAAAUUUAUUUUAAGUUAAAAAUCUUAAAUAAGUUUAAGGGACGAGAAGACCCUAUAGAAUUUUAAAAGUAUAAUAUUAAAUAUUUAAAAUAAAAAUAAAUUAAAUUUUAAUAUUUUAUUUUUUUUAUUGGGAGGAUAUUAAAAUUUAAUAAACUUUUAAUUAAAAUAAACAUUAAUUAAUGAAUUAAUUAAUUUAAAUAUAAAAAUAAAAUAAAAUUACCUUAGGGAUAACAGCGUAAUAAAAUUUUAGAGUUCAUAUUAAAAAUUUUGAUUGCGACCUCGAUGUUGAAUUAAAAUAAAAUUUAAGUGAAGAAGCUUAAUAUU
rnacentral:rRNA from 1 species